rnacentral:rRNA from 1 species
CCUACGGGUGCAGCAGUGGGGAAUAUUGCGCAAUGGGCGAAAGCCUGACGCAGCGACGCCGCGUGAGGGAUGAAGGUCUUCGGAUCGUAAACCUCUGUCAGCAGGGAAGAACGGUCACUGUGCUAAUCAGCAGUGAAUUGACGGUACCUGCAAAGGAAGCACCGGCUAACUCCGUGCCAGCAGCCGCGGUAAUACGUAGGUGGCAAGCGUUGUCCGGAUUUACUGGGUGUAAAGGGCGUGCAGCCGGGAAGACAAGUCAGAUGUGAAAUCCCGCGGCUCAACCGCGGAACUGCAUUUGAAACUGUUUUUCUUGAGUACCGGAGAGGUCAUCGGAAUUCCUUGUGUAGCGGUGAAAUGCGUAGAUAUAAGGAAGAACACCAGUGGCGAAGGCGGAUAACUGGACGGCAACUGACGGUGAGGCGCGAAAGCGUGGGGAGCAAACAGGAUUAGAUACCCGUGUAGUC